rnacentral:rRNA from 1 species
GACGAACGCUGGCGGCGUGCCUAAUACAUGCAAGUAGAACGCUGAAGGAGGAGCUUGCUCUUCUGGAUGAGUUGCGAACGGGUGAGUAACGCGUAGGUAACCUGCCUGGUAGCGGGGGAUAACUAUUGGAAACGAUAGCUAAUACCGCAUAACAGUAGAUGUUGCAUGACAUUUGCUUAAAAGGUGCAAUUGCACCACUACCAGAUGGACCUGCGUUGUAUUAGCUAGUUGGUGGGGUAACGGCUCACCAAGGCGACGAUACAUAGCCGACCUGAGAGGGGGAUCGGCCACGCUGGGACGGGGACACGGCCCAGACUCCUGCGAGAGGCAGCAGUAGGGGAUCUUUGGCAAUGGACGGAAGGCUGACCGAGCAACGCCGCGUGAGUGAAGGAGGUUGUCAGAUCGUAAAAGUCUGUUAUGAGAGAAGAACGAGUAUGAGAGUGAAAAGUUCACACUGUGACGGUAUCUUACCAGAAAGGGACGGCUAACUACGUG